rnacentral:ncRNA from 1 species
GGCCCUCUGAUGCCCUGGGCUACACACAUGAUACAAUGGACGUUACAAUGGGUUGCCAAGCCGCGAGGCGGAGCUAAUCCCAUCAAAAGCGUCCUCAGUUCGGAUUGGAGGCUGCAACUUGCCUCCAUGAAGCUGGAAUUGCUAGUAAUCGCAGAUCAGAAUGCUGCGGUGAAUACGUUCUCGAAUUUUGCACUCACUGCCCGUCACUUCAAGGGAGCCGGUAAUACCUGAAGAUCCAUGUUUUUAUGUGGAGCUACGGUAGGAUCGGUAACAGGGAAGAAGUCGUUGAUGCAAUCUGCAUAUUGCGACCUUC